rnacentral:rRNA from 1 species
GACGAACGCUGGCGGCGUGCUUAACACAUGCAAGUCGAGCGGAAAGGCCACUUCGGUGGUACUCGAGCGGCGAACGGGUGAGUAACACGUGAGUAAUCUGCCCCUCACUCAGGGAUAACCAUUGGAAACGGUGGCUAAUACCUGAUAUGACCACGUCUCGCAUGGGGUGUGGUGGAAAGCGUUUAGUGGUGAGGGAUGUGCUCGCGGCCUAUCAGCUUGUUGGUGAGGUAGUGGCUCACCAAGGCUUCGACGGGUAGCCGGCCUGAGAGGGUGACCGGCCACACUGGGACUGAGACACGGACCAGACUCCUACGGGAGGCAGCAGUGGGGAAUAUUGGACAAUGGGCGAAAGCCUGAUCCAGCAACGCCGCGUGAGGGAUGACGGCCUUCGGGUUGUAAACCUCUUUCACCCAUGACGAAGCGCAAGUGACGGUAGUGGGAGAAGAAGGACCGGCCAACUACGUGCCAGCCGCCGCAGUAACAC